rnacentral:rRNA from 1 species
GACGAACGCUGGCGGCGUGCUUAACACAUGCAAGUCGAACGGUAAGGCCCUUCGGGGUACACGAGUGGCGAACGGGUGAGUAACACGUGGGUGAUCUGCCCUGCACUUCGGGAUAAGCCUGGGAAACUGGGUCUAAUACCGGAUAGGACCACUGCCUGCAUGGGUGGUGGUGGAAAGCUUUUGCGGUGUGGGAUGGGCCCGCGGCCUAUCAGAUUGUUGGGGGGGUGAUGGCCUACCAAGGCGACGACGGGUAGCCAGCCUGAGAGGGUGAGCGGCCAAACUGGGACUGAGGUACGGCCCAGACUCCAACGGGAGGCAGCAGUGGGGAAUAUUGCAAAAUGGGCGCAAGCCUGAUGCAGCGACGCCGCGUGAGGGAUGACGGCCUUCGGGUUGUAAACCUCUUUCAGCACCGACGAAGCGCAAGUGACGGUAGGUGCAGAAGAAGGACCGGACAACUACGUGCCAGCCGCCGCAGUAA